GAAGUAGCUCAGUGGUAGGAUAUCUGCCUGGCAUGCCGAAGGGCCCAAGUUCAAUCCCCGGCAACUCCA